CCUACGGGUGGCAGCAGUGAGGAAUAUUGGUCAAUGGCCGGAAGGCUGAACCAGCCAUGCCGCGUGAAGGUCAGUGCCCUAUGGGCGUUAAACUUCUUUUGUGCGGGAGCAAUAAUGGUCACGUGUGGCCAGACGAGAGUACCGUACGAAUAAGCAUCGGCUAACUCCGUGCCAGCAGCCGCGGCAAUACGGGGGAUGCAAGCGUUAUCCGGAUUUAUUGGGUUUAAAGGGUGCGUAGGCUGUGAGGUAAGUCAUCGGUGAAAUGCCCCCGCUCAACGGGGUGAAGUGCCAUUGAUACUGCCUGGCUGGAAUGCGGAUGCCGUGGGAGGAAUGUGUGGUGUAGCGGUGAAAUGCAUAGAUAUCACACAGAACACCGAUUGCGAAGGCAUCUCACGAAUCCGCGAUUGACGCUGAUGCACGAAAGCGUGGGUAUCAAACAGGAUUAGAUACCCCAGUAGUC
rnacentral:rRNA from 1 species